rnacentral:rRNA from 1 species
GGAAUUGUUCGCAAUGGGCGCAAGCCUGACGACGCAAUGCCGCGUGGAGGAUGAAGGUCUUCGGAUUGUAAACUCCUGUUGCCCGGGACGAAUGGCUCCGACCUAACACCUCGGAGUGUUACGGUACCGGGUGAGGACGCCCCGGCUAACUCUGUCCCAGCCGCCGCGGUAAUACAGAGGGGGCAAGCGUUGUUCGGAAUUACUGGGCGUAAAGGGCGCGUAGGCGGCCUGCUAAGUCGAACGUGAAAUCCCCGGGCUCAACCCGGGAACUGCGUCCGAUACUGGUUGGCUUGAAUCCGGGAGAGGGAUGCGGAAUUCCAGGUGUAGCGGUGAAAUGCGUAGAUAUCUGGAGGAACACCGGUGGCGAAGGCGGCAUCCUGGACCGGCAUUGACGCUGAGGCGCGAAAGCCAGGGGAGCAAAC